rnacentral:rRNA from 1 species
GAUGAACGCUGGCUACAGGCCUAACACAUGCAAGUCGAGGGGCAUCACUCCGCCGGUUUACCGGCGGUGGUGGCGACCGGCGCACGGGUGAGUAACGCGUAUCCGACCAUCCGCGGGCCCGGGGAUAGUCUUCCGAAAGGAGGUUUAAUACCCGGCGGCGUCAGGGGGUUCCAUGGCCGCCUGACUAAAGGAUUCGUCCGGCCCGCGACGGGGAUGCGUUCCAUUAGCUUGACGGCGGGGUAACGGCCCACCGUGGCGACGAUGCCUAGGGGGACUGAGAGGUUGGCCCCCCACACUGGGACUGAGACACGGCCCAGACUCCUACGGGAGGCAGCAGUGAGGAAUAUUGGUCAAUGGGCGGAAGCCUGAACCAGCCAUGCCGCGUGGAGGGAUGAGGCCCUACGGGCUGUGAACUCCUUUUGACGCGGAGCAAUAACCGCCAUGCGUGGCGGGAUGAGAGUACGCGUCGAAUAAGCAUCGGCUAACUCCGUGCCAGCAGCCGCGGUAAUACGGGGGAUGCGAGCGUUAUCCGGAUUCAUUGGGUUUAAAGGGUGCGUAGGCGGACAGUCAAGUCAGCGGUGAAACCCCCGUGCUCAACAUGGGGCUUGCCGUUGAAACUGGUUGUCUGGAGUGCGCGUGCCGCCGGAGGAAUGUGCGGUGUAGCGGUGAAAUGCAUAGAUAUCGCACAGAACACCGAUUGCGGAGGCAUCUGGCGAACGCGCAACUGACGCUGAGGCACGAAAGCGUGGGGAUCGAACAGGAUUAGAUACCCUGGUAGUCCACGCCGUAAACGAUGACGGCUAGCCGUUGGGCCUGAGGGUUCAGUGGCCAAGCGAAAGCGAUAAGCCGUCCACCUGGGGAGUACGGCCGCAAGGCUGAAACUCAAAGGAAUUGACGGGGGCCCGCACAAGCGGAGGAACAUGUGGUUUAAUUCGAUGAUACGCGAGGAACCUUACCCGGGCUCGAACGGCAGAUGAAUAUGUGAGAGAUUGCAUAGCCUACGGGCAUCUGUCGAGGUGCUGCAUGGUUGUCGUCAGCUCGUGCCGUGAGGUGUCGGCUCAAGUGCCAUAACGAGCGCAACCCCUGCCUUCAGUUGCCAGCAGGUAAAGCUGGGGACUCUGGAGGGACUGCCACCGCAAGGUGCGAGGAAGGGGGGGAUGACGUCAAAUCAGCACGGCCCUUACGUCCGGGGCGACACACGUGUUACAAUGGGGGCUACAGAGGGGCGCCAGACAGUGAUGUUGAGCUGAUCCCGAAAGGCCCUCCCAGUUCGGAUCGGAGUCUGCAACCCGACUCCGUGAAGUUGGAUUCGCUAGUAAUCGCGCAUCAGCCAUGGCGCGGUGAAUACGUUCCCGGGCCUUGUACACACCGCCCGUCAAGCCAUGGGAGCCGGGAGCGCCUGAAGUCCGUGACCGCGAGGAGCGGCCUAGGGCGAGACCGGUGACUGGGGCUA